rnacentral:rRNA from 1 species
ACUCCUACGGGAGGCAGCAGUGAGGAAUAUUGGACAAUGGGUGGAAGCCUGAUCCAGCCAUCCCGCGUGCAGGAAGACGGCCCUAUGGGUUGUAAACUGCUUUUAUCUGGGGAUAAACCUACUUACGUGUAAGUAGCUGAAGGUACCAGAAGAAUAAGCACCGGCUAACUCCGUGCCAGCAGCCGCGGUAAUACGGAGGGUGCAAGCGUUAUCCGGAUUUAUUGGGUUUAAAGGGUCCGUAGGCGGACUGAUAAGUCAGUGGUGAAAUCCGACAGCUUAACUGUCGAACUGCCAUUGAUACUGUUAGUCUUGAGUAAGGUUGAAGUGGCUGGAAUAAGUAGUGUAGCGGUGAAAUGCAUAGAUAUUACUUAGAACACCAAUUGCGAAGGCAGGUCACUAAGUCUUAACUGACGCUGAUGGACGAAAGCGUGGGGAGCGAACAGGAUUAGAAACCCUUGUAGUCCCAUGAU